CCGAGUUUUCAACUCCCUAACCCUUCUGUGAACCUACCUAUCGUUGCUUCGGCGGACUCGCCCCAGCCCGGACGCGGACUGGACCAGCGGCCCGCCGGGGACCUCAAACUCUUGUAUUCCAGCAUCUUCUGAAUACGCCGAAGCAAAACAAAUGAAUC
rnacentral:misc_RNA from 1 species